UAAAAGUAUGAAGCGGUUCACUUUGUCAAAUGCUGCUGAGAUGAACAAGAUGAUCACUGGAAUUAGCACUGAGGAAUCAUGGGAGAAAUCCUGGAGGAGCAGUUUCAGCUGGGUGAGGAUAGAAGCCAGAUUAGAGAGGGUUGAAAAGACACUGGGAGGUGAGGUCAUGGAGUUGGUAAGUACAGACAUACUUCCCCAGAAGUCUUGCUGUAAAGGGAGCAGAGAAUGGAGUUGCAGUUGGAGGAUUAUGUAGGGUCAGUGGAGUAUUUGUUGUAAGAUGGAAGGUUACUAGGGCAGACUGUAGAAUGAUGGAGGUGAUCCAGCUAAAAGGGACAAACUAGGGAUGCAGGAAACAGCCUGACUUGGAGUAGUGAGAGGGAUGGGAGGGAAACUGCAUGUGGAGUCAGUGCUGUUGGCAGGAGCAGAGGCUCUUCAUCCUGAUAAUAGGAGGGAAGGAAGGAAGGAUGGGCCUGUGGGAAGGUAUGACUGCUGCUUUGGGAUGUAGAAGGGAAAGCUUGGUAUGAAGUUGCUUUUGUUUUAGAAGUGUAAUAUGAGGCCAGGUUAUCUGCUGAGAGCAGAGGAGGGUGGAGGAUAAGGGGGCAGAGGAGGAGGCUGAAUGUGUGUCUUGAGGCUUUGAAGAGAGAAGAGGAAAAGUAAAAUAGUAACAGUCAUUUUGGAGACUAGGGACAUAAAAAUGGAAGGAUUGUAGAGAAGUAACUAAAAUGGUCAGGCAGACUUGAGGGCUCAUUUGAGAUUUAUGGUUAUGAAUUUAAAGUGAGACCUGUCAGCAUGCUUGUGAAUUUUUCUCCAGCAAUAUCUGACUAUUUAAGUGAGGUAAGUGACGAUAUAAGAGAUAUUAAGAGCACCAAAUCAUAUUUUUUCAAAUAUCUGUAUUCUUUUCUUCAGAGACACUAUAGGAGUCUAAAUAAAAACAGACAAGGCAUGUGUUGCAAAGCCUUUAAUUAGAAUGUUUGUAUUUUUUACAUCAUGCAUAACUUCACAUUUGUGAUUAAUUAGUAAUUAUUUCAAUACUUGUAAGCUCAUCUGCCUCAGAUUUAAUCAUAAUACAUGAAUUAAAUUAAUCAAAUUAAGGAACAGCAAUUUAGAAAGAAACACACUUUAAGAAAUCAAAAUUCUCAAUUCAGGCAGUCUGUUUCUAUCAUUUGGUAUUCUACUCCUUUAAAAAUUUCAUAUUGCCCAACAAAAAGUGGUUAUUUUUACUGUUUUUGGAGAUGACUGAACAGAUGAAGGCAUCAGAUGCCUUCAUCAGCUGGUAUUUUGCCUAAGAUCUAUUUAAGAUAACCUUUUCUUAUAUUUUUUACUUAAUAUUGGGCAUAAUCGUAUCAUUCAAGAUUAAGUCUGGGUUAUUUCUUUGAUAAGAACUGAAUGUGGCCGGGCGCAGUGGCUCACGCCUGUAAUCCCAGCACUUUGGGAGGCUGAGGCAGGAGAAUGGCGUGAACCCGGGAGGUGGAGGUUGCAGUGAGCCGAGAUUGCGCCACUGCACUCCAGCCUGGGCGACAGAGCGAGACUGUCUCAAAAAAAAAAAGAACGGAAUGUACUGGAGAUGUAUUUGAUAACCAAGGUUUUAGCUAAUUCUUUUGUAUUUUUAGUAGAGACAGGGUUUCACCGUGUUAGCCAGGAUGGUCUCGAUCUCCUGACCUCAUGAUCCGCUUGCCUCGGCCUCCCAAAGUGCU
rnacentral:lncRNA from 1 species